UACAGAGGUCUCAAGCGUUGUUCGGAUUCAUUGGGCGUAAAGGGUGCGUAGGCGGCGAGGUAAGUCGGAUGUGAAAUCCCGGGGCUCAACCCCGGAACUGCAUUCGAUACUGCUUUGCUUGAGUACUGGAGAGGAGACUGGAAUUUACGGUGUAGCAGUGAAAUGCGUAGAUAUCUGGAGGAACACCGGUGGCGAAGGCGGCAUCCUGGACCGAAACUGACGCUGAGGAGCGAAAGCCAGGGGAGCAAACGGG
rnacentral:rRNA from 1 species